CAGGAAGGAUGCUGGAGGGUUGGGUUUCCACUAGUUACCACAGCCACAGAGUCAAAAUGGACUAUACCGUAAAAAAAAACGUUUUUGGGGGGCUAAAUUUAAGGUUGUAUGCAUCUAUUCAGUCCAGGAGGUUAUCCUCUUUGCUGUGUUCUGCUCCUCGUCGCCCUUGCCAGUUUUAUGAACUCCCACACCAUUCAAAUAAAUUGGUCCUGGCUAUUAUCCUCCCAUGAUGCAUCGCCUACAGAUGCCAGAGGAGCGUCUCGGACAGUGGAUGGAGGGGACUCAUGACUCUGGGCCCCACAGCCCUGAGGUCCUGGCUAAAGUCAAAGGCAUGGGCACACUUCAGAUCCGAGGAGCCACUAAAUCCAAUCGGAUCAGCCAGGCCAUUCCCAUCUACGGAUUUGGAAUCCUACUCUACAUCCUCUUCAUCAUAUUUAAGAUGACAACUAGGCCUAAAGGAAAAAGUACUAAACUGGUAUGCUGAUUUCCUACAAUGACAUUUGAAGCUUGGCAGAAGAGAAGGAAUGAUGAGCUGGCCCAGCUUCAGGAGAAGCUGCUGGAGACAGAGGGUGAAGUAGAGGAUCGUCUCCAGAAGGAGCAACACUCCUAACAGAGUCUCUCUCUCUCUCAGCGGCAGUUAUGACCCCAUCACCAUCCUGGAGGAGCCUGCUGCUGACUCAGAUACCCACAGCCGAGGCCCUGGCUGAGGAGGUAGUAGAGGACUCAGGGGAGGAGGAGGAGCAGUAGCUCUACCCGCCCCCACCUCCUGAAGGAGGAAUGGAAGAAACGGGUAGUAGUCCCACCAGAGUAAAAAAGCUAAUCAGAUUCAGCGACCACAAAGAUGUGUUUCACUACCCUAAGCAGGAUACGGUCUAUGGAUAUAGGUAUGAAGAGGAGAAGGAAGAGAGGAGGAGGAAGAGGAGCAAGUGGAUGAGACAGAGGAAGAGGAGGAAGUGGAUGAGACAGGGGAAGAGGGAGUAGUAGGUGAUGAAGACCCACUGAUGGAGGCCGAGGCUCUCAGUUUUAGUUGUGAUGUCUGUAGUAAUCCAGAAGCAGAAGAAGAGAUGGAAGAAGAGUACAUUCUACUGUCUCAGUCUGAAGAGACAGACAGCUUCACCCCACCAGAUAGGUCUGGGGAGCUGGGGAUUCGGAGUUCUCUCAGGUUGAGGAACAGGAGAGAGACAGAGGGCAGAGUCAAUGAGGAAACUAGCUCAUCCUAAACUUGCCUCUCUAGCCCUUUGACCUUACUGAAUGUUCUGAAAAUUCCCAAGAAUGUACCUCUCCUUAUUCAAAUCCCCAUUUUCUAUCCUGUCUCCUUGCGUCCCAAGAAAGAAUAUGCUGUUCAGUGGGUGAAUUUUGUGAUCCUAACUAGACUACCUAAUACCCUAAUAUUCAUGCUGCGUUAAAGACAACCAUUUACCCACAAUUCAUCAUGUCCUUUGAUGGUAGACAUCAAACUAUCUGACUAACUUUAUUCCAAUAUGGCAGUCAAGCAUUGUAGAGAUCCUGGUGUCCUCUGGGAUAGAUUGUAAACAGAGAGAGCAGGGACCCACAUAAAUGAGUAAACAGAGGUAGAUCGUUCAAGUCCAGCUUUUGUAUCUCAAGACUAUUAAAGUGGACACAUUCUAUUAAAAGGUCAUAAAGGUCAUAUAAUAGUGUAACAGUUUUGCUUCCAUCCCUCUCCUCGCCCCUACCUGGGCUCGAACUAGGGACCCUCUGCACACAUCAACAACAGUCACCUACGAACCAUCGCUCCACAAAAGCCGCGGCCCUUGCAGAGCACGGGGAACAACUACUUCAGGUCUCAGAGCGAGUGACCGAUUGAAAUGCUAUUAGCACCACCACUAACUAGCUAGCCAUUUCACAUCGGUUACACUACCUGCCUAUUGUCUUUUACGACCAUAUCAUCACUUCACAGACAUCUCAGGGGUUCAGUCAGAGAGUAUACAUAGUGUUGUGGGUGCAUGUGACUGUUGUUUGAUUCAUUGGAGUUUUAUUUUUUUCAUAAUCAGAGAACUGUGUGUAUACAAACACUGUAUAUUGAACAAUGUACACAUUUUACAUUACAGUGAAACAGUACUAAACACACUCAUAGAAUGAAAGGGCCUUGUUUCUUGGACACAAAGAAACUUGUUAUGAAAAGCACAGUAUUUUUUUUCUGCAAGGAUCUCAACAGUUUGCCUAAAAAUUCCGAAGAGUUGGAACACAUUACUAAGAAACAGGAAUAUCAUGGUUGAUUAAAGUAGACCCUUUUUCAUAACUUACAAUAGCAAUGAGCUGCCUCGUCAGAGAUUGUUCUUUGCUGUUUGCUUUCAUUUGGUCUUCAUUUGGUCUUCAUUUUCCACUUAAUAUCCAUAAAAUAUAAAAUAGUUUCAUAUAUUUUGUGAAAGGCUUUUGCCUCUCAACAAGUGUGGAGAGUGGCCAGGUGGUCUAAUGGUAAUGUCACAGCCUCCAGCACAUUUCUACAUUAUCAGCAUAGGUUUGAAUCCAGUCUACUGCCCUUUGACACAACCUCUCUAUCUUUCCCCACUGUCAUCCUCUCUUUCUAUCUGUUCAAUUAAGUCAGAAAAAAUAUAUAUAUUUAAAAGUAGGGUAAAGAUAUUUAUUGAUUCACUAAAAUAUAGAGAAUAAAAUCCUCUGGUAUGCCAGAUUCAUAGAGAAUGAUAUCAAUAUAGGAUAACAUGACAUAUUAGUAUGUGUGUUAAUACACACAGGCCUGCUACUAUCCUUGCCAUAUCUGAGUGGUUUGGUCUCUGAUAACGUGUGAAAUGAUUCACAUUAUCAGAUGGAUGUUAUCAGUUCUUCUGAUAAUGUCAGAUGAAGAUAUGAGUGCAUCUGCAAACCACAAUGCCCAUGGUCUUGUGCCUGGUGCCAAUAACCGAUUCUGUACAUUAUAUUACUGAAUCUAAUUUGUUAAGAUUCUUGGGGACAAAUUAGUAAAUCAUAUUUUAUUCAGGGAGUUGAGAAUUUACAGUAGGGGCAUAUAAAAAACCUGACUUUAGUGACUUCAUCAUCUGAAAAUAAUAUAACCAAACAGAAAAGGGAACAAAUCCCGUCACCUCAAGAAGUGUUUUUCUAGUAGAGGGUGAAGAGGGAGCAGGCAGAACAAAGACACCCAGGCUCAGACAGGUGCAUUACAAAGUCCCGUCUCAGAGAGAGAACAUCUGAUCAAGUUAAAGCAUAAAAUUGGAUUUUGUCUCCAAAGGCACAAUAUGUACAGCUAUUUCACAUACACUGUAAACGUUGUUAAAGUGCACCAUCCUAUACAUUCUCAUACUUGUUAGUGUGAUAUGAUGUUUUACAAGAUGCACAGACUGUGUGUCAUGCCCUUCGCUGACCUGGUCUGUUCAUGUCCAAUUGAAUAACUAUGACAGAUAUUCCCUUCAAUCAUGUAUGCUUCAGGCUCAAAAACAAAGAUUCAAUAAGUGUAAACUAAGGAUAUGGACACACUUAAGAACAAGAUACAGGUAACUGCCAGAACAAAAGAAACCACUUGAGUAAAUUAGGGAUACAAAGUAUUAUGAAAGCAGGUGCUUCCACACAGGUGUGGUUCCUCAGUUAUUUAAUCCCAUCAUCCGGUCAUGUAUAAAAAUGCCCAGUUACCUAUUAUUUUGGCUACCAUGGCUAGAAGAAUAGAACUCAGAGGGGUCUCAAAGAAGUAUAGGGGGUUUAAAGGGGUGUGUCUCAGUCACCAGAUCUCAAUCAAAUUGUAAACUUAUGGGAGAUUCUGGAGCGGCACCUGAGACAGCGUUUUCCACCACCAUCAACAAAACACCCAAUGAUGGAAUUUAUUGUGGAAGAAUGGUAUCGCAUCCCUCCAAUAGCAUUCCAGACAGGAAUCUAUACCAAUGUGAUUUGAAGCUGUUCUGGCUCAUGGUGACCCAACUACUUAUUAAGCCACUUUAUGUUGGUGUUUCCUUUAUUUUGUCAGUCACCUGUGUCAUGAUAUGUAUAAAUACAUAAAUAACCAUAUAAACACAUACAUGGAUGUGAAUGUUAUGUGAUGUUCAAAUGAGUCAUAUUAGUGACAGUUAUGAGGUUAAAGUGUUAUUUGUUAGGAGCUUUAUCUUGAAUUAUGUUUUCAAUCUUGAAUCGGUCCUAAUUUGUAACCUAAUGGUUUCCAGUCCAAUAUUGAAUAAGUUAAAGGUGGCAUGUGGGGGUUAAUUACUACGAUGAAACUCCUUCAACCAAUUCAACAUGAAGAUGAACAGUUGUUAGUUUUUUUUUGUUGCAAUAAAUGUUAAAUUCAUUGAAAAGUAAUUAAUGGUUAAAGAAAUGUUAGAAUUCCACAACGGAUACAUAAAGUAACAGAAUUCAUUGUUACAUAUUUAAUUUAAAACAUGAUCUAUUAAAAUCAAGAGUGGAUUAGUC